UUUUGAGGAAGCAAUCGUCUUGUACUACAUCAUGCAGAGUGGAAGGGCUAUAAGUUGCCAGUCUUGUAAGACGCUCUUGGCAGGAGCAUACUUCAGUUGCUCUCAAUGUUUCUUCAAUGUUUCAGAUAGCACCUAUGAAAUUUGUUGUGCUUGUUAUGGUGGUAAAAAUUACACACACCACGGUGAUGCCAUCUUCUGCGAUAACUAUACUUUACUACGUCAAAGCAGGAGCGUGAUACAAGAGGCCCCCAUAAAGAAGCGAAGAAAGGUGCUUAAAUCCCAUAAAAAGAGACUGCUAGUUGCAGAGAUAACUGUUGGUCUUGCAGGCAUAACUGUUGGUGUUGCUGAUCUUGCAUCAAAAUUUUACUGUAGCAUUAUGUGAAAUAACCAACGAUGCAUUCUAUCAUAAGUCAAAUGCCUCCAAUCGUACAGUGAUUGCUGAUGAGGUAAGAGGAAAUGACUGGAAACUCUUCAAGAAAAGCUCACGUCCAGUAGAGAAUAAGAUCAAGUUACUUUUAUGGAAUUGUAUUUUUUGUGUUGCAAUUGUAUUCUCAUGCAAUCGAUCUCCAUAUUAUUCUCAUGUGUGCUUUUGGAGGGCAUUGUGAAUUUGUUACUUUAAUCUUAAGCUGUUUUUGUGUAAA